AUAUUUGAAGUCAUUCUGAUGAAGUGUUAUUAAUUGAAUUGUAUUGUAAGCUAUUCCUUACCUGCUGAGUGUUUCUGGUAUUUAUGACAGAAAUUAAUAUAUUCAUGAUUGCUAAGUACCUUCAGGCUAACAGGAGGAAGACAGGAAUAUGGUGUUGGAAUGAAAAUCAGCCGUGGCUGAAUGGUGGGCAGACCAUAUGGAUCGAAUCACCUAAUUCUCUUCCUGUGUCUUAUGUCUUACCAUGACUGAAUGACGGCUCCUUCUUAUCCCAUAUCGUCUGUGUCAUUUAGACCUGCAGUGAGAGAUUUAUUGGAAGAAAAACCACGACUGAAGUCGAGGGAACAGCAACAAGUGAACCAGCCCGAGGAUUGAGAGCACCGACUGGAGAGAACCCAUCUGACUCGGAGAUUCCAGUGAUUCAGUCAGGAGAAAGUUUGCUGUGCGGACCAACCAUUCAUCUGGGCAGGAAACGUUUACAUGGCUUCAAAACUGUGGCACUUCACAUUGACAAUAGAUAAAAGAAAAUCCCAGCUGCACGUCAACAAAGGGUAUUUGUGUGAGAGUGUUCAGUUACUUUGCGGACAGGCACUCUUGCAGCUCAGUGGAAACAGAGAAUAAUACCAAUGGAGAGAGUCAAACUGAGCCAGGUCACAGAUUGGUGACGGCAGAAAUGCCCGAUUCUUAUAGACACAGGAAGAUCAUCAGAGAGUUUGAUGGUCAUUCCAGAUUCCUGCACUGUGCCCAGCUGGAAGAUGAUUUCUCUCUCCAACUUGGGUUGAACCUCACUGUAACAGUGUGAUGCCAGAUCACACCUUGACACCUCAAGUAAUCUCGUCUGACAUAUUGUCCUUCACCCAUUGAUGUACUAUAAAUCUUUUUCAGGUUAAAAACAACAAGGAAAUUAUCUACGGGGAGGUCAAACACAACACGCUGUUUUGUUGUCUAUGUCCAGAUAUUUAAGAAGUGGAACAAGGGAUUUACUCGAUCAUCAUUCCUACUCAGGCUGUGGGGAGUGAUUCACUCGAUCAUUAUUCCUAUUCAGACUGUGGGAGAGAUUCAUCGAUCAUCUGACCGACUGACAUGCUGUCAAUUUACACGGGGGGAAUCCAUUUAUCUGCUCAGUCAUCCACUCUAAUGGCUCACCAGCGAGUUCACACCGGGGUGUGGCCAUUCACCUGCUCAGACUGUGGGAAGGGAUUCAUGUUGUCAGCUCACCUACUGAGUCAUCAGUCAGUUCACACGGGUGAGAGGCCAUUCACCUGCUCUGACUGUGGGAAAGGAUUCACUUUGUCAUCUAAUCUUAAGCUACAUCAGCGAGUUCACUCUGGGGAGAGGCCGUUCAC